rnacentral:rRNA from 1 species
CAUAGGUUAAUGAGGCGAACCGGGGGAACUGAAACAUCUAAGUACCCCGAGGAAAAGAAAUCAACCGAGAUUCCCCCAGUAGCGGCGAGCGAACGGGGAGCAGCCCAGAGCCUGAAUCAGUGUGUGUGUUAGUGGAAGCGUCUGGAAAGGCGCGCGAUACAGGGUGACAGCCCCGUACACAAAAAUGCACAUACUGUGAGCUCGAUGAGUAGGGCGGGACACGUGGUAUCCUGUCUGAAUAUGGGGGGACCAUCCUCCAAGGCUAAAUACUCCUGACUGACCGAUAGUGAACCAGUACCGUGAGGGAAAGGCGAAAAGAACCCCGGCGAGGGGAGUGAAAAAGAACCUGAAACCGUGUACGUACAAGCAGUGGGAGCACGCUUAGGCGUGUGACUGCGUACCUUUUGUAUAAUGGGUCAGCGACUUAUAUUCUGUAGCAAGGUUAACCGAAUAGGGGAGCCGAAGGGAAACCGAGUCUUAACUGGGCGUUAAGUUGCAGGGUAUAGACCCGAAACCCGGUGAUCUAGCCAUGGGCAGGUUGAAGGUUGGGUAACACUAACUGGAGGACCGAACCGACUAAUGUUGAAAAAUUAGCGGAUGACUUGUGGCUGGGGGUGAAAGGCCAAUCAAACCGGGAGAUAGCUGGUUCUCCCCGAAAGCUAUUUAGGUAGCGCCUCGUGAAUUCAUCUCCGGGGGUAGAGCACUGUUUCGGCAAGGGGGUCAUCCCGACUUACCAACCCGAUGCAAACUGCGAAUACCGGAGAAUGUUAUCACGGGAGACACACGGCGGGUGCUAACGUCCGUCGUGAAGAGGGAAACAACCCAGACCGCCAGCUAAGGUCCCAAAGUCAUGGUUAAGUGGGAAACGAUGUGGGAAGGCCCAGACAGCCAGGAUGUUGGCUUAGAAGCAGCCAUCAUUUAAAGAAAGCGUAAUAGCUCACUGGUCGAGUCGGCCUGCGCGGAAGAUGUAACGGGGCUAAACCAUGCACCGAAGCUGCGGCAGCGACGCUGAUGCGUUGUUGGGUAGGGGAGCGUUCUGUAAGCCUGUGAAGGUGUGCUGUGAGGCAUGCUGGAGGUAUCAGAAGUGCGAAUGCUGACAUAAGUAACGAUAAAGCGGGUGAAAAGCCCGCUCGCCGGAAGACCAAGGGUUCCUGUCCAACGUUAAUCGGGGCAGGGUGAGUCGACCCCUAAGGCGAGGCCGAAAGGCGUAGUCGAUGGGAAACAGGUUAAUAUUCCUGUACUUGGUGUUACUGCGAAGGGGGGACGGAGAAGGCUAUGUUGGCCGGGCGACGGUUGUCCCGGUUUAAGCGUGUAGGCUGGUUUUCCAGGCAA